rnacentral:rRNA from 1 species
GGACGGGUGAGGAACACAUCGGAAUCUACCCUGUCGUGGGGGACAACGUAGGGAAACUUACGCUAAUACCGCAUACGACCUUUGGGUGAAAGCGGGGGACUCGCAAGAGCCUCGCGCUAAUGGAUGAGCCCAAGUCGGAUUAGCUUGUUGGUAGGGUAACGGCCUACCAAGGCGACAAUCCGUAGCUGGUCUGAGAGGACGACCAGCCACACUGGGACUGAGACACGGCCCAGACUCCUACGGGAGGCAGCAGUGGGGAAUAUUGGACAAUGGGGGCAACCCUGAUCCAGCGACGCCGCGUGUGUGAAGAAGGCCUGCGGGUUGUAAAGCACUUUUAGUGGGGAUGAAAAGCUCAGGGUUAACACCUCUGGGUCUUGACCUAACCCACAGAAAAAGCACCGGCUAACUCUGUGCCAGCAGCCGCGGUAAUACAGAGGGUGCAAGCGUUAAUCGGAAUUACUGGGCGUAAAGCGUGCGUAGACGGUUACAUAAGUCGGGUGUGAAAGCCCCGGGCUCAACCCGGGAAUUGCAUUCGAGACUGCGUAGCUUGGGUGCGGAAGAGGGAAGCGGAAUUUCCGGUGUAGCGGUGAAAUGCGUAGAUAU